rnacentral:rRNA from 1 species
UACGAAGGGGGCUAGCGUUGUUCGGAUUUACUGGGCGUAAAGCGCACGUAGGCGGAUAUUUAAGUCAGGGGUGAAAUCCCGGGGCUCAACCCCGGAACUGCCUCUGAUACUGGGUAUCUGGAGUCCGGAAGAGGUGAGUGGAAUUCCGAGUGUAGAGGUGAAAUUCGUAGAUAUUCGGAGGAACACCAGUGGCGAAGGCGGCUCACUGGUCCGGUACUGACGCUGAGGUGCGAAAGCGUGGGGAGCAAACAGG